rnacentral:tRNA from 1 species
GGAGAGGUGCUCGAGUGGCUGAAGAGAGCUGCCUGCUAAGCAGUUGAACUCGUAAGGGUUCCGAGGGUUCGAAUCCCUCCCUCUCCG